rnacentral:rRNA from 1 species
GAUGAACGCUGGCGGCGUGCUUAACACAUGCAAGUCGAACGAAGCACCUUAUUUGAUUUCCUUCGGGACUGAUUAUUUUGUGACUGAGUGGCGGACGGGUGAGUAACGCGUGGGUAACCUGCCUCGUACAGGGGGAUAACCGAUGGCAACGGCUGCUAAUACCGCAUAAGCGCCCGGCAUCGCAUGAUGCAGUGUGAAAACCUCCGGUGGUAUACGAUGGACCCGCGUUGGAUUAGCUAGUUGGUGAGGUAACGGCCCACCAAGGCGACACUCCAUAGCCGGGCUGAGAGGGAGGCCGGCCACAUUGAGGCUGGGACGCGGUCCGAACUCCUACGGGAGGCAGCAGUGGGGAAUGUUGCACAGUGGGGUAAGGGAUGAAGCAGCGACGCCGCGUGAGCGAAGAAGUAUUGCGGUAUGUAAAGUUCUAUCAGCAGGGAAGAUAAUGACGGUACCUGACUAGGAAGCACCGGCUAAAUACGUG